GUUGAAAUCUUAACUGUCAAAAUAUGAAUUUUAUCUUUGUUAUGAAAGUUGUCCCAUUUUAUUUAUUCUUAGUCCUAUUUGACCUUGUUGCUGGACUAAAAGAUCGACGCGGGGCAGGAUGUCUAUUUCCGCCGCUGGCGUAAAAAUAACAAUCGACUUGCAGUUUGAAUACGUCAGAGCGAGGGGCGAAACAAGGUUCCACAUUCCCAGGGCCCCAGAUUUGUUCUACCCUGCUUUGCUCUCUCUUUUAUUUUUUUUUUUGUUAUUUUUGUAAGUCGGCGGGAUUAAGUGGAUUUUUAAGUGGCAGCAGCAAAAGUGGCCACGGGCUAGGGAUUAGGCCCAAUGUCCCAGGCGACACAAUUACACGCACGUUGUUGCUUCACCCUCGUUUGACUUACUUCAGAAGUGUAUUUGAAUUGGACCAUGAAUAGCACGUGCUAAUGGCUGUGGAUUCGAGAUCUGAAGCAUUCCCUUGGAAGAACUUUUCACAGGCACGCACGGACCGUAUAAUUUUUGCACUCCACUUUCAAUUUUCUCCGCCCUUCCCCGAGGUCUCUGUCUGCUGAUGUCAUUUUCAUUAUUUGUAUGGAAAAACGAU